rnacentral:rRNA from 1 species
UACGUAGGGGGCAAGCGUUGUCCGGAAUCAUUGGGCGUAAAGAGCGUGUAGGCGGCUUGGUAAGUCCGCUGUGAAAGUCCAGGGCUCAACCCUGGAAAGCCGGUGGAAACUGUCAAGCUUGAGUCCGGAAAGAGGCGAGUGGAAUUCCUGGUGUAGCGGUGAAAUGGCGCAGAUAUCAGGAGGAACACCAAUAGCGAAGGCAGCUCGCUGGGACGUUACUGACACUGAGGCGCGAAAGCGUGGGGAGCGAACAGG